GUCCAUUAGCCAUGUCGUUUUGGCUAUAUAAACCACCCUACUAGCCCCCCCUUCCACACAAACUUCCCCCUGAAGAAGCCUUGCGUGAAACGUGCGUCGGGGUUGCUGGAGCACUAUACAGGAUGAUGGGAUAUUUCCCUAACAAAAUCUUGGCGCCCAACGUGGGGCUCAACUAAAGGACACUUCAUCUGGUCUCCGACAAAUUGGAUGUUCCGGUCCGGGAUUUGCAGAUAUAAGAAAUAGCGCUAAAAGAUUUUUUUUUGCUGAAGGUCGGUCGUCUGUCCUCCUGCCUCCCGGAGAAUUCAGGAUAUAAGAUGACUUCAGAUGCUGUCGCCAUUGAGCUCGAGCUGUUUUCUGUUUGUGGGUUGCCAAGGUGAUUUUGGUUCUACUAAUAACUACUGCCUAAAAAAUAAUAAAAAUGCCUAUCAA